CCUACGGGUGGCAGCAGUGGGGAAUAUUGGGCAAUGGACGCAAGUCUGACCCAGCAACGCCGCGUGAAGGAAGAAGGCUUUCGGGUUGUAAACUUCUUUUAAGGGGGAAGAGGAGAAGACGGUACCCCUUGAAUAAGCCACGGCUAACUACGUGCCAGCAGCCGCGGUAAUACGGGGGGUGCAAGCGUUGUCCGGAAUCAUUGGGCGUAAAGCGUUCGUAGGCGGCAAGGUAAGUCUGAUGUUAAAGCCCGGGGCUCAACUCCGGUUCGGCAUUGGAUACUAUCUAGCUAGAAUGUGGUAGAGGUAAAGGGAAUUCCUGGUGUAGCGGUGAAAUGCGUAGAUAUCAGGAGGAACAUCGGUGGCGAAAGCGCUUUACUGGACCAUUAUUGACGCUGAGGAACGAAAGCCAGGGGAGCAAAUGGGAUUAGAUACCCCUGUAGUC
rnacentral:rRNA from 1 species